rnacentral:rRNA from 1 species
CCUACGGGUGACAGCAGUGAGGAAUAUUGGUCAAUGGGCGAAAGCCUGAACCAGCGAAGCCGCGUGAGGGAUGAAGGUACUGUGUAUCGUAAACCUCUUUUGUAAGGGAACAAAGUCGGGGACGUGUCCCGGUUUGAAUGUACCUUACGAAAAAGGAUCGGCUAACUCCGUGCCAGCCGCCGCGGUAAUACGGAGGAUACGAGCGUUAUCCGGAUUUAUUGGGUUUAACGGGUGCGUAGGCGGUCUGUUAAGUCAGCGGUGAAAGUCUGGGGCUCAACCCUCGCACUGCCGUUGAAACUGGCAGUCUUGAGUGUGUGAGAGGCAGGCGGAAUGCGUGGUGUAGCGGUGAAAUGCAUAGAUAUCGCGCAGAACCGCGAUUGCGAAGGCAGCAUUCCGGCGCCCUACUGACGCUGAGGCACGAAAGCGUGGGGAUCGAACAGGAUUAGAUACCCGGGUAGUC